rnacentral:rRNA from 1 species
ACACUCUUCCCCUACACGACGCUCUUCCGAUCUGCCGGGAUGAGUAGCGAUAAAGAAGGUGAGAAUCCUUCUCGCCGUAAGCCUAAGGUUUCCUGGGCAAGGCCAUUCCGCCCAGGGUUAGUCGGUCCCUAAGACGAGGCUGAAAGGCGUAGUCGAUGGGAAGCAGGUCAACAUUCCUGCACCACUGUGAGCGUUGAACGAGGAGUGACGGCGGGUCGAAGGUUGUCCGGCUGCUAGAUGCCGGUUCUUGGUUUGGGGUGGUGGAUAGGAAAACCCGUCCACGGAAUCUCCGGAUCGAGAGGAGCCCUCGAGGCGAACCAACUGGAAGUCCGUCCGAGAAAAACUUCGCGGGAGCAGAGCAGUGACCGUACCCAAACUGACACAGGAAGGCGAGGCGAAUAGCCUCAGGCGCUCGAGAGAACCCUACGUGAAGGAACUCGGCAAAUUGACCCCGUAAGUUAGCGAUAAGGGGUGCCCUCGCAAGAGGGUCACAGGAAAACGACAGCUGCGACUGUUUACUAAAAACACAGGUCUCUGCGAAGUCGUCAAAGGCGACGUAUAGAGACUGACGCUUGCCCGCUGUUGGAACGUUAAGGUGACUGGUUAGCCGCAAGGCGAGGCUGGGAGCCGAAGCGCCAAUGAAGGGCGGCCGUAACUAUGACGGUCCUAAGGUAGCGAAAUUCCUUGUCGGGUAAGUUCCGACCCGCACGAAUAGCGUAACGACAGCUGUACUGUCUCCACGAGGGACUCGGCGAAAUUGUAGCUGUGGUGAAGAUGCCACAUGCCCGCACCAAGACGGAAAGACCCCGUGAACCUUUACUGUAACCUAAUACUGGCUCUAGGUUCGCCAUGUGUAGCAUAGGUGGGAGACGUUGAUGUCGGGGGCGCCAGCCUCCGAAUAGUCGUCAGUGAAAUACCACUCUUGGCGUACUUGGAGUCUAACCUGCGACCGUUAUCCGGCGUGGGAACAGUGUUAGGCGGGCAGUUUGACUGGGGCGGUCUCCUCCUAAAAGGUAACGGAGGAGUUCAAAGGUACCCUCAAUGCGGUUGGCAAUCGCAUGUAGAGCGUAAAAGUAUAAGGGUGCUUGACUGCGAGACACAUAGGUCGAGCAGGUACGAAAGUAGGAUUUAGUGAUCCGGUGGUCCCGUGUGGAAGGGCCAUCGCUCAUCAGAUAAAAGGUACUCCGGGGAUAACAGGCUGAUCACGCCCAAGAGUCCAUAUCGACGGCGUGGUUUGGCACCUCGAUGUCGGCUCAUCGCAUCCUGGGGCUGAAGGCGGUCCCAAGGGUUGGUCUGUUCGCCCAUUAAAGCGGUACGUGAGCUGGGUUUAGACCGUCGUGAGACAGGUCGGUCCCUAUCUGGUGUGGGCGCAGGAUGAUUGCGGAGACUCAUUCCUAGUACGAGAGGAUUGGAAUGAACGAACCUCUGGUGUGCCAGUUGUCGCGCUAGCGGCAUCGCUGGAUAGCUAUGUUCGGACAGGAUAAGCGCUGAAAGCAUCUAAGCGCGAAGCCAACUCCAAGACUGGUCAUCCCCAUAGACGCCUGGUAGACCACCAGGUUGAUAGGCCGGAAGUGUAAGGCCAGCAAUGGCUUCAGCUAACCGGUACUAACCAGUCGAUCGGCUUGAUC